GACGAACGCUGGCGGCGUGCUUAACACAUGCAAGUCGAACGAAGUGGCGAACGGGUGAGUAACGCGUAAUCAACCUGCCCUUCAGAGGGGGACAACAGUUGGAAACGACUGCUAAUACCGCAUACUGAAGGAGGGGAUUGUGUCUGAUUAGCUAGUCGGAGGGGUAACGGCCCACCAAGGCGAUGAUCAGUAGCCGGUCUGAGGGGAUGAACGGCCACAUUGGGACUGCGACACGGCCCAGCCUCCUACGGGAGGCAGCAGUGGGGAAUCUUCCGCAAUGGGCGAAAGGCUGACGGAGCAACGCCGCAUGAGUGAUAGCGGCCUUCGGGUUGUAAAUCUCUGUUAAUCGGGACGCGGUACCGGCAUAGAAAGCCACGGCUAACUACGUGCCAGCAGCCGCGGUAAUAC
rnacentral:rRNA from 1 species